ensembl:misc_RNA
GUUAAAAGCUAGGGCUAGGACUUGGAGGAUGUGUAGGCAAACGGAAGGAGAGCCGGGGGAAGAAAAGCCGAAAUGGAUUCAUUCUCCGUCCUGGCUGGAGGAGGAGAGGAGCGGGGACGUGCGGGCUGCCUGCAGCUGCCUCUGUCCGGUGAGAAGUGCUCAGAGCCCCGCGGCUGACUCGGGCUCAGGAGUCCGCGCGGACUUUCGCUCUAAGCUGCCAAUCAAACCGCUAACUAGCCACCACCCUGCGCUGGCACCGACAU